UAAAGGAAGCUGAAAGGUAUUUUAAGAUCUAGGUUCUACCAACUGUCUGUAUACACAUUUAUCAUCCACUUUCUUCUACUUUUCAAGCAACACAGGCUUUUCUCAUUUAUUUUCCAGUAGCUCCAGCCUCAGAGAACCCUGUCUCGACUAAAAAUACAAAAAUUAGCUGGGCGUGGUGGUGCACACCAGUAAUCCCAGCUACUUGGGAGGCUGAGGUAGGAGGAUUGCUUGAACCUGGGAGGCAGAGGUUACAGUGAGCCGAGGUUGCACCACUGCACUUCAGCCUGGGCCACAGAGCGAGACUCCAUCUCAAAAAAAUAAAAAAAGAGAAAAGGAAAUAGAAUCAGAUAUGUGUGUGCAUACUGCAUGCAUGCUUACUUACACACAUGCGGUGUAUGUAUACACCCACACAUCCUACCUUAAAAUCAGGGGGUACCCCCACAAAAUAUUUACCUCCUGAGGCAUUCUGACUUUUACUAAAUUUCAGCCAAGUAUUUUGCUUAUUAGUGUUGGGUAAAACCCAUCUUCUGACCUGGCUUUUACCCCCAGGCUCUUUCUGUUUGGGCAGUAAAUUUCUAACUUCUCUUUUCUUUGGGGGUGACUGUUUUGACCUACCAAAAGCCUCACCUGGGAUUAGGCUGUGGGUUCCCUCAGGACCCGUUGAAAGGAAGAACCUGGAUCUAGAAGCUUCGGGGCUUCCCCAGAGUUCAUGGAACUUCCCAGAGGAGAGAAAAAUACAGCUGGCAGCAGUACUAUCCUACCACUCUGUUCAGGAACCCCAUCGUUAGUGUCUCCUUGAAGUGGCAGCCCAAUGGGAAAUGUUUAGGGCCAUUUUCCUGUCACAGCCUGAAAUCACAGGCGCGUUGCUGGCCAAAUUCAUCAAAACCACCAUGCCUAAAACAGUGUCACACUGUGUUUCAACUUGAAUCCUUGUAAAAUAGUGAUUUUUUUUUUUUUUUUUUUUUUUUUUUUCUGAUUAGAAAGCAGCCUGGGCGCGGUAGCUCACGCCUGUAAUCCUAGCAUGUUGGGAGGCCAAGGUGGGCA
rnacentral:lncRNA from 10 species